AGGUGCGAUCAUACCACCACUAAUGCAUCGGAUCCCAUCAGAACUGCAGUUAAGCAUUCUUGGGCGAGAGUAGUACUAGGAUGGGUGACCUCCUGGGAAAUCCUCAUGUUGCCCCUA
rfam:Cajanus cajan chromosome 6, whole genome shotgun sequence.